AACAACUAUGGACAUUACUCAACCAUCAGAACCUGGAAAAAAGUCGGCAGCUCCAACUAAGGAGAUCAGAACCACCUCGCCCUCUCCACCAACUAAGUCAACAGUGAACUCUAAGGCUUCUACACAGACACACAAUGUAUUGGUUCCCUCCAGCCUUAUCAUUCUUUCUAUGUAUCUUUUCAAGUAACUGGGCAUCUACUCUCGAUUCUUCUCGUUACAAAUUGCUGGAAUACAGCAAGUUACAGCCAAUCAUGAUUGUCUAAUGAAAAACGUCAAACAAACUGGUUUCCUCUGAGUGAAUGUAGCUCCAAUACCCCUGGCGCACAAUGCCCUAAACACACGCUUUCUCUCACAGUCACAGCGGGAUGGCUUAACAUCGGCCAUUCUGACCUAUUCUUCAGUAAUAUCCAAACCAUGACUGCAGACCCAUAGUUAAAGCAUUUUGUUCAAAACUAAAGAAGAUGAAAGAUAAAUUCAGCGUUUGUAUAAUACUGAAACAGUUCUCUGUUGCAGCUUAACAACCAAAUUUCGGUGUCUCUCAUCUCCAGCUGAAUAAAAGUCAAGUAAAACAGAGGGAUAGAUGCAGCGCCUGAAGUGUCCUUAAAAGGUUAGGUAACAACAAAAGUUGAGAAAAUAGAGGAACUGAUAGUGUAUGAAGUCUUUGAAGUGAUGGAUAAAUGAAAAUAUUAAAUGUGCACUUUGCUGGACCUGCUAUCCAGAUCCGACUUUAGCUACUGAGCGCUAUGAUCCCCGUCUGAGGAUAUAGUGUAAUUCUUGUAUUGC